AGCGAACGCUGGCGGCAGGCCUAACACAUGCAAGUCGAACGAACCUUUCGGGGUUAGUGGCGGACGGGUGAGUAACACGUGGGAACGUGCCUUUAGGUUCGGAAUAACUCAGGGAAACUUGUGCUAAUACCGAAUGUGCCCUUCGGGGGAAAGAUUUAUCGCCUUUAGAGCGGCCCGCGUCUGAUUAGCUAGUUGGUUGAGGUAAUGGCUCACCAAGGCGACGAUCAGUUGCUGGUCUGAGAGGAUGAUCAGCCACAAUGGGACUGAGACACGGCCCAAACUCCUACGGGAGGCAGCAGUAGGGAAUCUUGCGCAAUGGGCGAAAGCCUGACGCAGCCAUGCCGCGUGAAUGAUGAAGGUCUUAGGAUUGUAAAAUUCUUUCACCGGGGACGAUAAUGACGGUACCCGGAGAAGAAGCCCCGGCUAACUUCGUG
rnacentral:rRNA from 1 species